AACUUUCUCUAGUAUAGUCAUAUUAUGCAAACACGUCAUUAAGCCAGGGACUGAUGGGGCUGUCACCCAGCCUGUGUGCAGUGUCUGACCCUUGCUGCAUAUGAUGACUUGUGUACAGGGUCGACCUAUUCAUACAGAUAUAUGCUUUGAUAUUUAAACUUUCAGUGUACCAGUAAAUGAGCAUGAAGUCACUGAAAAAUAAAAUCAUGGCAAAUUACAAUCUGGGGGAUGUUUGAAAAUGAAACACAGAAAAUAAACAUAUGCAAAUUAGCUUCAGGGCACUUGAGAAGGGUUCACCGUUAGUACUAACUCUGGGAUUUGUAAAAUUGCCCCUCUUUUCCCUCAAAAUCAGGGUACUACCUGUAAUCUCUCCCAUUGCUACCUUUAGCACAUUAGGACUACCAGUUCUAGGCAAGUGAAGCCUAGAUUAGGGAUUGGAGGAGAACAAACUAUCUUAAUUUUCAACAUUUCUUAAAUCCGUGAGUGUCUAGGAUUAAGAAUAACUAGAACACGUGGAAAGUAACCUAUUAGGGGAAAGAUGCUAUCAGGCAAUGAUGUCUAAGUCCAGGUACCCAGUUCAACGAGUAUGACUGAGAAAAGAAACUAGUCAGUGAUAUGCAAAACUAGAGGGAAAAGGGAGCAAUGUUGGUAACCAGGCUAACAGCGAAAUUGCUAAAAACAAAUAGGUAUCCCAUAGAUUUAUUUAUUGGCUUGGGAAAGCCUGUGUGGGGAUACGCUUGCUUAGUGUAAAGUUUCAGGAUCAAUGCAAAAAAUUCUCCUGAAAGAGAAUGUAGAGCCCUCUAAAUCUAGGGUGUAAAGUUGUUUUUGCAUACACCGUGCUGUUUCAUCUCUCUCUUUUUCUUUUAAUCUGUUGGGUUUUUAAUGUUUUAGUUGACACAUUGUAAUUGUACGUAUUUAUGGGGCACAAUUUGACGCUGUAGUAUAAUACAUAUAUAUGUUGCACAGUGAUGAUCAAAUCAGGGUGGUUGGCAUAUCCAUUGGCUUGUGCAGUUUUCAUUUCUAUGUGGUAAAAACAUUCAAAGCCUCUUUCCUAGCUAUUUUGUAAUAUAUAAUAUCUUACUAUUAACCACAGUCACCCUGCUGUGCAAUAAAACACCAAACGUUAUUCCUCCUAUCGAAUUGUCACCUUGUACCCGUUGACCAAUCUUUCUCUCUCUUCCCUCCCCAUUCCCUCCUCAGUGUCUGAUAAAUGUUAUUCUAUGCUAUACCUCCGUAAUAUCAACUUCUUAUUUUUUUCAGAUUCCACAUAUAAGUAAGGUCAUAUGGUAUUUGUCUUUCUGUGUCUGGCUUAGUUC
rnacentral:lncRNA from 1 species